UACAGAGGGUGCGAGCGUUAAUCGGAAUUACUGGGCGUAAAGCGUGCGUAGACGGUUAUGUAAGUCGGGUGUGAAAGCCCCGGGCUCAACCUGGGAAUUGCAUUCGAGACUGCGUAGCUAGGGUGCGGAAGAGGGAAGCGGAAUUUCCGGUGUAGCGGUGAAAUGCGUAGAUAUCGGAAGGAACACCGGUGGCGAAAGCGGCUUCCUGGUCCAGCACCGACGUUCAGGCACGAAAGCGUGGGGAGCAAACAGG
rnacentral:rRNA from 1 species